rnacentral:rRNA from 1 species
GACGAACGCUGGCGGCGUGCUUAACACAUGCAAGUCGAACGGAAAGGCCCUGCUUUUGUGGGGUUCUCGAUUGGCGAACGCGUGAGUAACACGUGAGUAACCUGCCCUUGACUUUGGGAUAACUUCAGGAAACUGGGGCUAAUACCGGAUAGGAUCUCCUGCUCCAUGGUGGGGGUUGGAAAGUUUCGGCGGUUGGGGAUGGACUCGCGGCUUAUCGGCUUGUUGGUGGGGUAGUGGCUUACCAAGGCUUUGACGGGUAGCCGGCCUGGGAGGGUGACCGGGCACCAGGGGACUAAGGUAGGGCGCAGACGCGAACGGGAGGCAGCAGUGGGGAAUCUUACACAGUGGGAGGGAGCGUGAGGCGGCAGCGCUGGGGGCGGGAUGACCGCCUUCGGGUUGUAAACCGCUUUCGCCUGAGACGAAGCGUGAGUGACGGUAAUGGGUAAAGAAGCACCGGCUAACUACGUG